rnacentral:rRNA from 1 species
CAAUAGCGUAUAUUAAAGUUUGUUGCGGUUAAAAGCUCGUAGUUGGAUUUCUGUCGAGGACGGUCGGUCCACACUUUGUGUGAGUAUCUGAUUCGGCCUUGGCAUCCUCUUGAAAAACGUUUCUGCGCUUGAUUGCGUGGAGCGGAGUUCAAGACUUUUUACUUUAGAGGAAAUUAGAGUGUUUCAAGCAGGCACACGCCUUGAAUACAUUAGCAUGGAAUAAUAAGAUAGGACCUCGGUUCUAUUUUGUUGGUUUCUAGAGCUGAGGUAAUGAUUAAUAGGGAUAGUUGGGGGCAUUCGUAUUUAACUGUCAGAGGUGAAAUUCUUGGAUUUGUUAAAGACGGACUAACUGCGAAAGCAUUUGCCAAGGAUGUUUUCAUUGAUCAAGAACGAAAGUUAGGGGAUCGAAGACGAUCAGAUACCGU